AGUGAACGCUGGCGGUAGGCCUAACACAUGCAAGUCGAACGGCAGCACAGUAAGAGCUUGCUCUUACGGGUGGCGAGUGGCGGACGGGUGAGGAAUACAUCGGAAUCUACUUUUUCGUGGGGGAUAAUGUAGGGAAACUUACGCUAAUACCGCAUACGACCUACGGGUGAAAGCAGGGGAUCUUCGGACCUUGCGCGAUUGAAUGAGCCGAUGUCGGAUUAGCUAGUUGGCGGGGUAAAGGCUCACCAAGGCGACGAUCCGUAGCUGGUCUGAGAGGAUGAUCAGCGACACUGGAAGUGAGACACGGUCCAGACUCCUACGGGAGGCGGCAGUGGGGAAUAUUGGACAAAGGGCGCAAGCCUGAUCCAGCCAUACCGCGUGGGUGAAGAAGGCCUUCGGGUUGUAAAGCCCUUUUGUUGGGAAAGAAAAGCAGCAGGUUAAUACCCCGCUGUUCUGACGGUACCCAAAGAAUAAGCACCGGCUAACUUCGUG
rnacentral:rRNA from 1 species